CAAAUCUCCAAAAAACGUACUCAGUUCGGAUUGUAGGCUGCAACCCGCCUGCAUGAAGUCGGAAUUGCUAGUAAUCGUAGAUCAGCAUGCUACGGUGAAUACGUUCCCGGGCCUUGCACACACCGCCCGUCAAACCAUGAGAGUUGGCAACACCCGAAGCCUGUAGCUUAACCGCAAGGACGGCGCAGUCGAAGGUGGGGUCGAUGAUUAGGGUUAAGUCGUAACAAGGUAUC
rnacentral:rRNA from 1 species